GCCUUCGUGGUGUAGUGGUCAGCACGCUGGGCGCGUAUUCCAGAGGUCCGUGGUUCGAGUCCCGGCAAGGGUA
rnacentral:tRNA from 1 species